rnacentral:rRNA from 1 species
GACGAACGCUGGCGGCGUGCUUAACACAUGCAAGUCGAACGGAAAGGCCCUGCUUUUGUGGGGUGCUCGAGUGGCGAACGGGUGAGUAACACGUGAGUAACCUGCCCUUGACUUUGGGAUAACUUCAGGAAACUGGGGCUAAUACCGGAUAGGAGCUCCUGCUGCAUGGUGGGGGUUGGAAAGUUUCGGCGGUUGGGGAUGGACUCGCGGCUUAUCAGCUUGUUGGUGGGGUAGUGGCUUACCAAGGCUUUGACGGGUAGCCGGCCUGAGAGGGUGACCGGCGCGGUUGGGACGGAGAUCCAGCGCAGACUGGUGCGGGGGACAGCAGGGGGGAAAAUUGAAGCCAGGGGGGCGCCUUGAGGCGGCGACGCGGAGUGGGAGAGGCCGGCCUGCGGUUUGACAACCGCCUCCGCUGGGGGCGGAGCGUGAGUGAGGUAAAUGGAAAAAGAAGCACCGUCGAACUACGUCCCAGCAGCAGACGAAAUGAACAAGGAGCACAGACAUCACC